rnacentral:RNase_P_RNA from 1 species
CAAGUGGAUCAGAUAGCCGCCGGUUGCCUUCUUUUUGGAGGGCAACGGGAGGAAAGUCCGGGCUCCUCAGGACAGGGUGGUCGAUAACGUCGACCGGUCGUGAGAUUAGGGAAAGUGCCGCAGAAAACAAACCGCCUAAGUCCCCCUUGGGGGAACGGUAAGGGUGAAAAGGUGCGGUAAGAGCGCACCAGCAAGCGAGGUGACUCGCUUGGCUUGGUAAACCCCACCCGGAGCAAGGCAAACAGGCGGAAGGGUUGUUUGGCAACAGACAACACACGGGCUCGUCCGGCCCGUCAACCACUGCCGGGUACGCUGCUUGAGGCGUCGAGCAAUCGCCGCCCUAGAGGAAUGGCUAUCCCCGCAACUUGUUGCGGGACAGAACCCGGCUUACCGAUCCACUUGAGCU